rnacentral:rRNA from 1 species
CACGCCGUAAACGAUGAGUGCUAGGUGUUGGGGAGACUCAGUGCCGCAGCUAACGCAAUAAGCACUCCGCCUGGGGAGUACGACCGCAAGGUUGAAACUCAAAGGAAUUGACGGGGACCC